GAGUAGGUUAUUGCCAGGGUUUUUAUUUUUAUACUUUAAUUCUUGAUUUUAUUUUUGAUUUUUAAAUAUUGGUGUUUUUAAAUGUGUUAUUUAAAUAGCGUAAGAAAUAAAAGAUAUAUUGACAUGGAUUAAACAAAGAUAUAUAUUAUUUUAUGUUACAUAAACAAAUUGGCAAAAUAGAGAUGGAAGAUAAAAAUA
rnacentral:misc_RNA from 1 species